rnacentral:rRNA from 1 species
AUGUUGCCAGACGAGCAAAGGCGUGGUAGCGGCCAAGGCGAGAACUAUGGGAAGCUGAAGUCGCCUGCGUGUUUGUGUUCAUCACAGAAGGAAGAAGCAUGGUGUCCGCCGCCGGGGACAUGGAUGCAUGCGGGGGAGCAGCCGCAGAUUCAGGACCUUCUAUCGAUCUGUUGUGCCUUGAAGUUUGCGUUUAUCUUUGAGAAGUUCUGCCCCAUCCUCAGUCAUAUUCUGAAAUCCAUUGCCAAUUUGGCUUCAGGAAAAUUCAGUCGCACAAGAAGCAAGGCUAAGUUGUACUCCUAA